CAAGAAAGGAUGUUUUAACAACAGCUGUAUUGAGGUAUAAUUGAAAUACAACAAGCUGCCAUAUUUAAAGUGUACCAUUUGAUACAUUUUGACAUA